rnacentral:tRNA from 1 species
GUCGGGAUAGCUCAGUC